rnacentral:rRNA from 1 species
AUUGAACGCUGGCGGCAGGCCUAACACAUGCAAGUCGAGCGAGCGGCGGACGGGUGAGUAAUGUAUGGGGAUCUGCCCGAUAGAGGGGGAUAACUACUGGAAACGGUGGCUAAUACCGCAUACUAUCGGAUGAACCCAUAUGGGAUUAGCUAGUAGGUGGGGUAAAGGCUCACCUAGGCGACGAUCCCUAACUGGUCUGAGAGGAGGACCAGCCACACUGGAACUGAGACACGGUCCAGACUCCUACGGGAUGCAGCAGUGGUGAAUAUUGCACAAUGGGCGCAAGCCUGAUGCAGCCAUGCCGCGUGUGUGAAGAAGGCCUUCGGGUUGUAAAGCACUUUCAGCGAGGAGGCGUUACUCGCAGAAGAAGCACCGGCUAACUCCGUGCCAGCAGCCGCGGUAAUAC